rnacentral:lncRNA from 1 species
CCAAGGAAUCAUCAAUAAACAAUAAGCCGCCGCCUGUGGAGUACUCAAAUUGGAGAACCACGUAAAUCUCUUGUGUUCUUAAUUCUCUAUCGUUUGUGUGUGUGUGUAUGAUCCUAUUAUUCUAACAGGAUACAACUUUGAUAAUUUCAAUUUUGGACUCUUCGAAACAGUCGAUCCCCUUUGGGUCCUUAACAGUCGAGUCAGUUCUCGCUUCCCUUCUUCCCUCUGUUUGUCUUAUUCUCGUCACUUUUCUCGUCCAUUAUGCCCUACUUACAGAUUUAGUUGCAGGUAUCUAAGCAUCCAUUAGUUAAGGGGGUUGGGGAGCGAAGCGCAAACCGCUCUUCGAUCUCCUGGUGAGUUGGACAGGAACGAGACACAAAGGGUUAUCUAUGAAGUAUUUGAAUUGCCCCUUUAUGUUGGAAUAGUUGAUUUUCUUUUUUCUUAUCAACAUAGAGUUGGAAUUUAGCCGUGUAAGUUGCGAGUGGACCAGUGUGAAGCUUUAGUUUCGCUGCCGCCCAAAGCUCCUAGCCGACGACCGGCUGCCCCUUUCGAGCUUAGCUGACCCUUUCUUGAUUAAGUUUUUCCUUAUUUGAGAUAGAUGAAUCAAUGGAAUUUUGAUCCCGGUUCCUGCUUGGUCAAUUCCUGGAAGGCCCCUAUUAAUGUAAUGAGUGAACAAUCAAAGUGUGUUUGCCGCGACUACGAGCUGCCAGUGUGCCUUUCUUUGAGUCGCCUACGCUCGGGGUCGAGAACUGGUUCAAAAGUAGAAGGUGGUCCAAAAACAAGCUAACGUGAGUUUUCGAAUAACGCCUUUCCCAUUUUUGAACACCACUGAGAUAGGUUUUUUCCCGAACCAUUGACCCUUGUUCGGAAGGGAUUCAUUCAAUGGAGCUUUAUUUGUUUGAUCUAGUAAGGGGGUGUUAGAAAUAAGCCACCACCCGACGAAACAACAGUUUACAACAGAGCGACCGGGAAUAUUGAGCAAAAAGCUCUAAUGCGCGUAUUCAGAGCUACGCGGAUGAUGUAGUCGCAAAAGCCGGAUCAACAUCAUGACAACAAUAUUUUAGAAACCGUUGGGCCAGUCACAAUUGGUCUAAUGUCUGGGUGCAUAUGACGGUACACUGAGAGUACCUUUCAUUUCAAGUCGGCUGAAAAAGAAAGAAAAAAGGAUUCAUCGUCUUUUUUCCGCUUUCACCUUUGAUUGCGAAGGGAUUUGAGGCUG